CAGUCGCCGCGGUAAUACGGAGGGUGCGAGCGUUAAUCGGAAUAACUGGGCGUAAAGGGCACGCAGGCGGUGACUUAAGUGAGGUGUGAAAGCCCCGGGCUUAACCUGGGAAUUGUAUUUCAUACUGGGUCGCUAGAGCACUUUAGGGAGGGGUAGAAUUCCACGUGUAGCGGUGAAAUGCGUAGAGAUGUGGAGGAAUACCGAAGGCGAAGGCAGCCCCUUGGGAAUGUACUGACGCUCAUGUGCGAAAGCGUGGGGAGCAAACAGGAUUAGAUACCCCGGUAGUCCCUGUCUCUUAUAC
rnacentral:rRNA from 1 species